GACGAACGCUGGCGGCGUGCUUAACACAUGCAAGUGGAGCGACGAACCGGGCUUCGGCCCGGGGCAAAGCCGCGAACGGGUGAGUAUCACGUGGGUAACCUGCCCCGAUGACCGGGAUAACCCGAGGAAACUCGGGCUAAUACCGGAUGUGCUCCCAAUCCACCAGGGUUGGGAACAAAGGAAGCUUCGGCCUCCGCAUUGGGAUGGGCCCGCGGCCCAUUAGCUUGUUGGUGAGGUAACGGCUCACCAAGGCGACGAUGGGUAGCUGGUCUGAGAGGACGAUCAGCCACACUGGGACUGAGACACGGCCCAGACUCCUACGGGAGGCAGCAGUGGGGAAUCUUGCGCAAUGCGCGAAAGCGUGACGCAGCAACGCCGCGUGAGGGAAGAAGGCCUUCGGGUUGUAAACCUCUUUCAGGAGGGACGAAGGUUCAGGCGCGAACAGCGUCCUGGACUGACGGUACCUCCAGAAGAAGCCCCGGCUAACUACGUGCCAGCAGCCGCAGUAACAC
rnacentral:rRNA from 1 species